rnacentral:lncRNA from 1 species
AUGGAUGUUAACUUUGAAAUAAGUGACAAAUUAAAGGGUGACCCUAAAACUCUUUUCACCAAGUUCAGAUCCUUCUUAGUCUCUCGAUUUCAAAAUCUCUCCACUACAGACACCAAGAGCUUAGAACAAAUUCCUGCUCAGGACUUGAUCAAUCAGCAGUUCCUAAACUUCGUGAAUAAUUUUGAACUUCAGAACAAACCUCUAAACCAGAAAAUCAGCUUGACAUCUGACUAUGUUGACAUUGACUCUGAUUUAGAUGAAUUCCUCCGUCACAAUAACUUCCAAGUUCAGCGCCAGUAUUGUGUUAGUGUUCCAGAAAUUGGUUUGCCCUGUUGGGUGUAUGAUGAAAAGCAUGAUUAUUUUGUUUUGAAAGAAGAGAUAUCACCUGUGGUUUCAAAUCUGAAAAGGAAAGGGGGAGCAGCUAGUAGUGAGGAUGCCUCAAAUCAGAUGAAAGCGAAAAAAAUUAAAAUUUACGGCAUCAGCACAGGUGAGCUUCAGGUCAGCCCUGGUUCGCCGUGUUCUGGAGAGUCCUCCACCAAGAUUCCACAUGGAGCUGAAAGGUCAAAGAGUAACCAGGCAUCGACCAAAUCAAACAUAUCAGAUGUUCCUAGCUUGUCUACAAGCCAACUCAAUGACAGUAUAUCACCAUCAAAAUAUGUUGGUGAUUUUAGCUUUGACGAUAGUAGUAUUUUAACCACGCCAAACAAAAGUUUGACCGCACAAUUGAUCGAACCAGCUCUGGAAAGUUUGCUUGCUGAAAGUGGCCUUGCUCCGUUUGUGCCCAGUGGAAACGUUCCAAGUCCCAAGAAUGCAAGCUCUGAAGAAGCGUUCAGUCUGCCACCGACUCCAGAGAGCGAAUCCAUUCUAAGUCACUCCAAGCCGCUCAAGGGAGCAAACGGCAUUCAGGUGAAACAAGCAAACGACCACCCCCUCGAACCUACUUCCUCCGAUCCCGAAAAUCCUGACGGCCUUCUCCUUGUCCACUCCUUCCAAGUCCAACAGAAUUGUUUGUCUUACAUGGAGAGAGCAAUGCUACAGCAAAGAAAAAAUCACCAAUUAGUGGGAAAACUACGCCGCCCAUGA